AAAAAAAAAAAUGGCGAUGAGAUCUGUCGUUUCAUUCAGUGGACUCCGUCGUUUAACGAAAGGAGCUAAUGUAGCUCUCCGAUCAUCGGUUACCGGCCUCCGACACUUCAGUGACGGAAAAAUCCUCGGCGAAGAAGAACGUGCUCAAGAGAACAUUUACAUUCAGAAAAUGGAAAGGGAGAGGUUGGAGAAGGCAAAGCAGAAGGCAGAGCGAGAGAAAGCUGAGAAAGAGAAGGCCGAUAAGAAGGCUGGAGAAGGGGCUAACAAGAGCUGAACUGACAUCUCAAACUCUUCCUUUCAAGUUACCUUUGACAAAUAAAUGGAUAAUAACUUUGUGUUGUUGCUCUUCAUCCUUGAAUUUUUGAGCCUGUAAAACACAUUUGGUUCGAGAAUCAAACAUCAUCUUGUUUGAACCAGUUUGAUUCUGUUGGCACUGCAUUUUUUUGUAGUUUUUAUCGCAUGGUGAAACAUAAUGUAAACUCGUUGCUUGUGAUCAAG
rnacentral:misc_RNA from 1 species